GAAGAACUGGGUUCCAUGUGAGGACUAGGUUUCUCAGGCUUAUAGCUGGGUUUUUCAGAGGAAAGAGAGCCAGACUUCUCAGAUAGGAACAAGGAACUAGGUUUCAUGGGACCACUAGGUUUCUCAGAUUUAACUUCUGACUUCUCAGAUGGGUGGGAGGAACUAGGUUCCAUGUGAGGACUAGGUUUCUCAGGUUUAACUCUGGACUCCUCAGAUGGCUGGGAAGAACUGGGCUCCAUGUGAGGACUAGGUUUCUCAGGUUUAACACUGGACUUCUCAGAUGGUUGGGAAGAACUG